UUCACUAUUCAUCGUCUCUUUUGAUCAGAGACGAACCAGCCCAAACCCUAGCUAGCCGCCACCCGUUCCCUUCGCCUGAAACCCGACGUUGGCAACAGCGGCAACCACCAAAAUGACAUCCCUUGACCAUCUAACCACCCCCAAUCCAAAUCCAUUAACCAUUUGCCUCGAAUCAGUCCCCAACUCCUCGAAUCUUAAAUCGAAUGUUUUCCUGGAAAUAUCACCCUCUCCAAUGGCAACCAUAUUAACACCCUAAAACCAGCGGACCACCCUCAACCCAAAUCCCUUACCCGUUUGGCUCGAAUCAGCUUGUAGCUUCUCGAAUCUUCAUUUGAAGAUUCGAGCCGAACUUGGACCUGACCCAAUCGAGCCCAAACUCACACCGGGUAUCUCCAUGACCUUCCUCUUUACAGGACCACCGUUGGUUUAGUUCGAAUCGAGCUACAACCGCUCAAGCCCCAAGUCAGGCCCCAAGAACCCUAGAAAUUCCAAACUUGGAAUCUGUCCAAGUUGAAGUUAUUUUGGGAGUCCAAUAGACCUUAGUCGAAGUGUUCUCGAUUGAGAACACUCGAUCAAGGUCCGUUCGAACUCAAAAGUUCGAGUCCAAGUCCGAGUUUGGUCCUGAUUUCAUCCAGAAUUUUAAUGGCAGAGGUAAUUUUCCUUUCUUUUGUUCUCCCUCUAUCCGUUACUUUUGUUAGUUUGAAUUGUUUUCAGUUUUGUUCAUCACUAGUCUUCUUCUUCUCAAAACAGACCCCUUUAUUUGGUCGAGUUUAUUUCUGUUCAUCGUUUAUGUAUACAUUAUGGGCUAUAUAAUCGUUUAAUUAUUUUCGUCGACUAAUUAGGUUCCUGUUAAUCCUUGCUCCUGUUAAAUUCCACUCGUAUCCCUGUUUGACGGUUUACCUAUUUCUGAUUGUUCAUUACCAAUUGUAACAUGUAGUCGAUUAAUUGAGUUUCAUCGAUUAGUUUGUUCGUAUGUAUGUGAAACAUUUAGCAUUCAGUUGGUUCUGGUGUCAAUAUAGUUUGACACCUGUUAAUGUAGUAAUUCAAAUCACAGUUGGCAUUUGGAUUGUUUGUAGCUUUCUAAUUGUUAGUGUCUUAUUAAUUGAGAUUCUGUUUGAUUAUACGCUUUGUUUUGAAUCGCUGAUUAUCUUGUCUUCAGUAUAAGAGCGUAAAAGUAAAAGGAAAUGGGCUGAAAAAAGGAGACUGCCUUUGAUAUAAAUACAGGUCAUUUGGGACUAAGAAAAGGAGAAGUUUUUUUAAAGUCUAAGAGAGAUUCAAAAAAAGAAACAGAACAAAAAUCUCAAUGUUUUGAUAACUUCUUUGAGAGAGAGUCUUUUGAAAAUCAGAAAGGUUAAAAGAAUUUUCAGAGAAAUAGAUAGAGGGUGAGGGUUGAAAGUUGAACUAAAUUUCCAGAAUUAAAGAGCGACUUUAAGCUGAGUUUUUACUUAAAAGUUUCAGUUGGUUUUCUUUGAGUGUUGGCAAUCAGAAACACUAUUUUCUUGCAUUUGUCUCACUCUAAACUUAACUAUUAGUGCAUUCGUGAGUGUUACUGGAUUUGUGGUGUGCAAGUUCUUGGGUUUUUCUGUUGGUUUUUUGCCUCUGAUAUUGUUGUUAUUCAACUGGUCUUGUUGAGUUUUCCUAUUGGUAUUCAAGUACUGUUGCAUUUGUGCAUGGAUUCCUUCUGUUUGAUUCUCCAAUCAUUCCUGGGAUUCUUGCUAUUGCUGUUGUUGCUGAAAUUUCUGUAGCUAUGUUGUGUUACUGCCGCUUACUACUAAAUACUAAUCUUCCUCUUUCUUUUGUUUCAAAAUACCAGGUACACACAUCUGUUACACUGGUUCAAUGUAGCUGAAGUUUAAAGCAUGAAUAAAAUGAAACCUUAGAGCUUAGAGUUUAUUUAGUUGUUUUGUAGCUUAUGUUGUAUACAUUUUAAUUAGUAGCUUUCGUUAGAAUCAUGUAAAGUAUUUGGUAUGUAUAACUAAGUAUAGAUCUGCAAUAGUUUAGAUGGUAUACCCUCUCUCGCAUGCUAGUUUAAAAUGACAUAGUAAUUCGUUUUCUGCCAUUUCAGUUCAUUUUAUUUAAAAUCAUGAACAAGCCUUAGUUAAUUAAUACAUAGUUAGUU
rnacentral:lncRNA from 1 species